rnacentral:pre_miRNA from 1 species
CCUUAAAAUUUCAUCUAUUACUAUAGUUAAAAAUUUGUAUGGCUGAUAAAAUAAUCAAACAACUACAUGUGGUGUGUCACGUGCAUUUAAUGCUGACAACCAAUUUUUAAUCGUAAAAAUGAAUUGAAUUUUUAAUA